rnacentral:rRNA from 1 species
CCUACGGGAGACUGCAGUGGGGGAUAUUGCACAAUGGGGGAAACCCUGAUGCAGCGACGCCGCGUGUGGGAAGACGGUCCUCUGGAUUGUAACCCACUGUCCCCAGGGACGAAGAUGACGGUACCUGGGGAGGAAGCUCCGGCUAACCACGUGCCAGCAGCCGCGGUAAUACGUAGGGUGCGAGCGGUGUCCGGAACUACUGGGGGAAAAGGGAGCGUAGGCGGGACUGCAAGUUGGGUGUAAAAUCCACCGGCCCAACCGGUAGCCGCACUCAAAACUGCAGUUCUUGAGUGAAGUAGAGGCAGGCGGAAUUCCUAGUGUAGCGGUGAAAUGCGUAGAUAUUAGGAGGAACACCAGUGGCGAAGGCGGCCUGCUGGGCUUUUACUGACGCUGAGGCUCGAAAGUGUGGGGAGCAAACAGGAUUAGAUACCCUGGUAGUC